CUCUCUCGCACGCGGGGACUGAGCACGGCCCGGAAAGCCGAGGACAGCCGCACUCACCCUGUAGUUAUAGUAGUGCGUCUGCACAAGAUGCCGGUGGCGCGACUUGUGGUGGCCGAAGUUGGAUUUCUCGCAAACCAAGAUGGGGUCUUGCUAUGUUGCCUAGACUGGUCUCAAACUCCUGAGCUCAAGUGAUCCACCCACCUUGGCCUCCCAAAGUGCUGAGAUUAAAGGCUACCCAUGGGGACCUCAACAGCUUUGCCAUUGCACACUAUCUUUGCAGACAAGAUCUUAAUCACAUCCAACUUUCUGCAGUUGCACAGGGUACCUCAGACCCACAUCCCAGAUGACAUUCCUCAGAAGCUCGCAGCUGGAGAUGACAUCACCUUAGACAACAUCACCCUAGCCCAAGACAUCGCUAUUAGAGAUACAUCACCUGGACACUAAAGCCUCCACCCCAGUGACACUCUCAAGGUGCUGACAAAAUGGACAUGGACAUUUGUUGCUUUUCUUCUUUUGAAUUAGGAACUCUAUUGUGUUUCCUGAAUUUACUGUCUGCUUGGCCCGUGAUCCUGGUAUGUUCCUUGCUCUCUGCCAAAACAUGCACCCUCCCCUCCACACCUAAAGGAAAACCUGGUAGAAGCUACUACUCUCAAUGCCAUUCUAAAAUUGACGAAGAGUAUUAUUUUCCCCAAGAGGCAGCUGCUGCAGGCCAGUGAAUCCUUUGGACCCUGGGGAGAGGGUCAUACACUCCCUAGUGACUUCUACUCUACCCUCCAGCUUUCCGCCAGGACCUCCUGCCCUGUCCCCAACUGUAACCACCACAACCACCCCAUCCCGUUGGUUACACACAAAUAUCACCAGUCUUUACAUGUACUUUACUGACUUCUCAGAUCAUACCCUCCAACAAGAUAACUGCAGGACUUGCCACCAUGACCUGAGAAAUACACCAAGAUAUUAUUGUCCAAUUUUUUUGAGAUAUAUAUAUAUUUCUCAUACUUUUAACAUACUCUGCAAUCCACCAAGAUAUUGGUAGAGACCCUGGAAAUUUCAAAUCUAUUUCCUCUGCUAAUGCCAUGUGAAUAGGAAACUUAGAUACAGGCUGGCCUACAAGGACUCCUUAUACUUCAAUUUUUGUUCCUCCUUUCAACUCUCAUAAAAAAUAUUUUCUAUACUAUUUAGGGCAAAUGAUGGCCUUCUUUCUAAGUCUCAUCCAUCAUUGCUGCAAAGGUGCCUUAGUUUGAUGUUAAAGUGUCACAGGGCCAAUGUAUUGACCAUGUUUCUGGCGUCUAUAAAGUCAAUGUUUUAAUAUCUGUC